rnacentral:rRNA from 1 species
UACGUAGGGUGCAGGCGUUAAUCGGAAUUACUGGGCGUAAAGCGUGCGCAGGCGGUUUCUUAAGUCAGAUGUGAAAGCCCCGGGCUUAACCCGGAACUGCCGUUGAUACUAUCUGUCUUGAAUAUCGUGGAGGUAAGCGGAAUAUGUCAUGUAGCGGUGAAAUGCUUAGAUAUGACAUAGAACACCCAUUGCGAAGGCAGCUUACUACACGAUCAUUGACGCUGAGGCACGAAAGCGUGGGGAGCAAACAGG